rnacentral:rRNA from 1 species
AUUGAACGCUGGCGGCAGGCCUAACACAUGCAAGUCGAACGAGUGGCGGACGGGUGAGUAAUGUCUGGGAAACUGCCUGAUGGAGGGGGAUAACUACUGGAAACGGUAGCUAAUACAGCAUACCAUCAGAUGUGCCCAGAGGGGAUUAGCUAGUUGGUGGGGUAACGGCUCACCAAGGCGCAGAUCCCUAGCUGGUCUGAGAGGAUGACCAGCUACAAUGGAACAGUGACACGGUCCAGACGCCUGCGGGAGGCGGCAGAUGGGAAUAUUGCACAAUGGGCGCAAUCCUGAUGCAGCCAUGCCGCGUGUAUGAAGAAGGCCUUCGUGUUGUAAAGUACUUUCAGCGGGGAGGCGUUACCCGCAGAAGAAGCACCGGCUAACUCCGUGCCAGCAGCCGCGGUAAUUC